rnacentral:rRNA from 1 species
AUUGAACGCUGGCGGCAGGCCUAACACAUGCAAGUCGAGCGGCAGCGGGAAAGUAGCUUGCUACUUUUGCCGGCGAGCGGCGGACGGGUGAGUAAUGCCUGGGAAAUUGCCCAGUCGAGGGGGAUAACAGUUGGAAACGACUGCUAAUACCGCAUACGCCCUACGGGGGAAAGCAGGGGACCUUCGGGCCUUGAGCGAUUGGAUAUGACCAGGUGGGAUUAGCUAGUUGGUGAGGUAAUGGCGCACCAAGGCGACGAUCCCUAGAUGGUCUGAGCGGAUGCUCAGCCACACUGGAACGGAGACACGGUCCAGACUCCUACGGGAGGCAGCAGUGGGGAAUAUUGCACAAUGGGGGAAACCCUGAUGCAGCCAUGCCGCGUGUGUGAAGAAGGCCUUCGGGUUGUAAAGCACUUUCAGCGAGGAGGAAAGGUUGAUGCCUAAUACGUAUCAACUGUGACGUUACUCGCAGAACAAGCACCGGCUAACUCCGUGCCAGCAGCCGCCGUAAUAC